AGCAGCCGCGGUAAUUCCAGCUCCAAUAGCGUAUAUUAAAGUUGUUGCAGUUAAAAGCUCGUAGUUGAAUUUCGGGAUUGGCGUGUCGGUCGUGCCUUAAGGGGUAUGAACUGGCGUCGUCGAUUUCUCACCUUCUGGAGAAACUCGAUGCCCUUAAUUGGGUGUCGUGCGGAACCAGGACCUUUACCUUGAAAAAUUAGAGUGUUAAAGCAGGCAUUUUUGCUCGAAUACAUUAGCAUGGAAUAAUAAAAUAGGACGGUUGGUUCUAUUUUGUUGGUUUCUAGGAUCACCGUAAUGAUUAAUAGGGAUAGUUGGGGGCAUUAGUAUUCAAUUGUCAGAGGUGAAAUUCUUGGAUUUAUUGAAGACUAACUACUGCGAAAAGCAUUUGCCAGGAUGUUUUCAUUAAUCAAGAACGAAAGUUAGGGGAUCGAAGACGAUCAGAUACCGUCGUAGUCUUAACCAUAAAACUAUGCCGACUAGGGAUCGGACGAUGUUAAUUUUUAAUGACUCGUUCGGCGCC
rnacentral:rRNA from 1 species